rnacentral:rRNA from 1 species
GACGAACGCUGGCGGCGUGCUUAACACAUGCAAGUCGAACGGAAAGGCCCUGCUGUUGUGGGGUGCUCGAGUGGCGAACGGGUGAGUAACACGUGAGUAACCUGCCCUUGACUUUGGGAUAACUUCAGGAAACUGGGGCUAAUACCGGCUAGGAGCUCCUGCUGCAUGGUGGGGGUUGGAAAGUUUCGGCGGUUGGGGAAGGACUCGCGGCUUAUCAGCUUGUUGGUGGGGUUGUGGCUUACCAAGGCUUUGACGGGUAGCCGGACUGAGAGGGUGACCGGCCACAGUGGGCCAGAGGUACGGCCCAGACUGAUACGGGAGGCAGCAGUGGGGAAUAUUGCACGAUGGGCGGAAGCCUGAUGCAGCAACGCCGCGUGCGGGAUGACGGCCUUCGGGUUGUAAACCGCUUUCGCCUGUGACGAAGCGUGAGUGACGGUAAUGGGUAAAGAAGCCACGGCUAACUACGUG